GACGAACGCUGGCGGCGUGCUUAACACAUGCAAGUCGAACGGAAAGGCCCUGCUUUUGUGGGGUGCUCGAGUGGCGAACGGGUGAGUAACACGUGAGUAACCUGCCCUUGACUUUGGGAUAACUUCAGGAAACUGGGGCUAAUACCGGAUAGGAGCUCCUGCUGCAUGGUGGGGGUUGGAAAGUUUCGGCGGUUGGGGAUGGACUCGCGGCUUAUCAGCUUGUUGGUGGGGUAGUGGCUUACCAAGGCUUUGACGGGUAGCCGGCCUGAGAGGGUGACCGGCCACAUUGGGACUGAGAUACGGCCCAGACUCCCACGGGAGGCAGCAGCGGGGAAUAUUGCACAAUGGGCGGAAGCCUGAUGCAGCAACGCCGCGUGCGGGAUGACGGCCUUCGGGUUGUAAACCGCUUUCGCCUGUGACGAAGCGUGAGUGACGGUAAUGGGUAAAGAAGCACCGGCUAACUACGUG
rnacentral:rRNA from 1 species